UCGAAAUGUCUGACUCAGCACUGCCUUCA
rnacentral:piRNA from 1 species